rnacentral:rRNA from 1 species
AACGAACGCUGGCGGCAUGCCUAACACAUGCAAGUCGGACGAGACCUUCGGGUCUAGUGGCGCACGGGUGCGUAACGCGUGGGAAUCUGCCCUUCGGUUGGGAAUAACUGAGAGAAAUUUCAGCUAAUACCUUAUAAUGUCUUCGGACCAAAGAUUUAUCGCCGAGGGAUGAGCCCGCGUAGGAUUAGGUAGUUGGUGGGGUAAUGGCCUACCAAGCCGACGAUCCUUAGCUGGUCUGAGAGGAUGAUCAGCCACACUGGGACUGAGACACGGCCCAGACUCCUACGGGAGGCAGCAGUGGGGAAUAUUGGACAAUGGGCGAAAGCCUGAUCCAGCAAUGCCGCGUGAGUGAUGAAGGCCUUAGGGUUGUAAAGCUCUUUUACCCGGGAUGAUAAUGACAGUACCGGGAGAAUAAGCUCCGGCUAACUCCGUG